AGUGAACGCUGGCGGUAGGCCUAACACAUGCAAGUCGAACGGCAGCACAGUAAGAGCUUGCUCUUAUGGGUGGCGAGUGGCGGACGGGUGAGGAAUACAUCGGAAUCUACUUUUUCGUGGGGGAUAACGUAGGGAAACUUACGCUAAUACCGCAUACGACCCACGGGUGAAAGCAGGGGAUCUUCGGACCUUGCGCGAUUGAAUGAGCCGAUGUCGGAUUAGCUAGUUGGCGGGGUAAAGGCCCACCAAGGCGACGAUCCGUAGCUGGUCUGAGAGGAUGAUCAGCCACACUGGAACUGGAACACGGUCCAGACUCCUACGGGAGGCAGCAGUGGGGAAUAUUGGACAAUAGGCGCAAGCCUGAUCCAGCCAUACCGCGUGGGUGGAGGAGGCCUUCGGGUUGGAAAGCCCUUUUGUUGGGAAAGAAAAGCAGCAGGUUAAUACCCCGCUGUUCUGACGGUACCCAAAGAAUAAGCACCGGCUAACUUCGUG
rnacentral:rRNA from 1 species